AUUUGAAGACACACACAAGCUCAUCUCUGAUUUCCUGCAGUGACAGCAGCCCAGACUGCAGUAAACUGAACAGGAUCUGUACACAUGAAGACAGCUAUGGACUUUGUCAGGAUGAUAGUGUUUUAUCUUCUCAACAGACCAUUAACAGCAUCAGAGUUGCUGCCAGAGUCAAGGUUCUCACCCACAAAUCUCGAGUGUGUGUUCUUUGUUUACGCAAAUGUCACCUGCUAUUGGACACCAGGAGUUGAUGCUCAUCCUGAUACAAACUACACCCUAAACGUCAGCCUGCCUGGGUUUAGUCUUUCUCAGUGUAACUCGUCUCAGCCCAACUGCUCUGUUCCUAUUCACUCUCUGCACCGGAACUACUGCAUUCAGGUCUUUGCUCACAGUAAACAGCAUCCGACUACAGUCAGCUCUGAGAUGCUCUGCCUGAGUGGGAUUGAUGCAGGUAAAAUCCACAAAACCGCGGAGUCUGUAAAGUACCAUAUAAUACUAGAGAUUACACACACUAAUAUACAGCACAUACAGCAGUCAGGAGACUGUGCUGUAGCUCAGUAAAGGUAUUGAUAUAUAUAUACAGAAGAGCAAAGGUUUGGUUGCUGCUCGCUCUUUGAACUCUAUGCACUGUAUGGAUGUGUUUAGUUCCACCAGCAGCUCAGCUGAUUUACUUUAAUGAAGCACUGCUUUAAUAAAUUAGGUGCUGGAUGAUCA
rnacentral:lncRNA from 1 species